GGGUUUACUCNCUAGUGGNGCAGCUAACGCUUUNAGCAUUCNGCCUGGGGAGUACGGUCGCNAGAUUAAAACUCAAAGGNNUUGACGGGGGCNNGCACAAGCGGUGGAGCAUGUGGUUUAAUUCGACGCAACGNGCAGNACCUUACCAGCCCUUGACAUCCCGGUCGCGGACUCCAGAGAUGGAGUUNUUCAGUUCGGCUGGACCGGAGACAGGUGCUGCAUGGCUGUCGUCAGCUCGUGUCGUGAGAUGUUGGGUUAAGUCCCGCAACGAGCGCAACCCCCGUCCUUAGUUGCUACCAUUUAGUUGAGCACUNUAAGGAGACUGCCGGUGAUAAGCCGCGAGGAAGGUGGGGAUGACGUCAAGUCCUCAUGGCCCUUACGGGCUGGGCUACACACGUGCUACAAUGGCGGUGACAAUGGGAUGCUAAGGGGCGACCCUUCGCAAAUCUCAAAAAGCCGUCUCAGUUCGGAUUGGGCUCUGCAACUCGAGCCCAUGAAGUUGGAAUCGCUAGUAAUCGUGGAUCAGCACGCCACGGUGAAUACGUNCCCGGGCCUUGUACACACCGCCCGUCACACCAUGGGAGUUGGUUUUACCUGAAGACNGUGCGCUAACCGAAANGNGGCAGCCGGCCACGGUAGG
rnacentral:rRNA from 1 species